AAAAUAAUUUUUGAAAAAUAAAAAAUUUCUAAUUUUUUAAUUAAUGGUUAAAUUCCAUUUUUAUUUUA
rnacentral:tRNA from 1 species